UACGAAGGGUGCAAGCGUUACUCGGAAUUACUGGGCGUAAAGCGUGCGUAGGUGGUUCGUUAAGUCUGAUGUGAAAGCCCUGGGCUCAACCUGGGAAUGGCAUUGGAAACUGGCGACCUAGAGUGCGGUAGAGGGUAGUGGAAUUCCCGGUGUAGCAGUGAAAUGCGUAGAGAUCGGGAGGAACAUCUGUGGCGAAGGCGACUACCUGGACCAGCACUGACACUGAGGCACGAAAGCUAGGGGAGCAAACAGG
rnacentral:rRNA from 1 species